rnacentral:rRNA from 1 species
AUUGAACGCUGGCGGCAGGCCUAACACAUGCAAGUCGAACGAGUGGCGGACGGGUGAGUAAUGUCUGGGACACUGCCCGAUGGAGGGGGAUAACUACUGGAAACGGUAGCUAAUACCGCAUACUAUCGGAUGUACCCAUAUGGGAUUAGCUAGUAGGUGGGGUAAUGGCUCACCUAGGCGACGAUCCCUAGCUGGUCUGAGAGGAUGACCCGCCACACUGGAACUGUGACACGGUGCAGACUCCUACGGGAGGCAGCAGUGGGGAAUAUUGCACAAUGGGCGCAAGCCUGAUGCAGCCAUGCCGCGUGUAUGAAGAAGGCCUUAGGGUUGUAAAUUACUUUCAGCGGGGAGGCGUUACGCGCAGAAGAAGCACCUGCUAACUCCGUGCCAGCAGCCGCGGUAAUUG